rnacentral:tRNA from 1 species
GGGCCUAUAGCUCUCAGAGGAUUAGAGCACGUGGCUACGAACCACGGUGUCGGGGGUUCGAAUCCCUCCUCACCCA